AUCUAACAAAGUCCCAAGGAAGCAACGUUUACCAGACUUAACAUUUUUUUUUUUUUUUUAUGUUUCAGUGACAAAGGUGGGGGAAAUCAUCCAAGUGGUCCAGCACCUAGCAUUUCCAGUUCCAAAGAAUACUGACUUACUUCAGGUGGGGGACAGGGACUUGAACCCGGGUCUUUGAGAAUGGUAACACAUGCUCAACCAGCUAUGAUACCGCCUGGCCCUUUAAAGCUACUUUCAAGUGCCUAGUGACUUCCCCUGCCUAUGACUGGCUUUUAAUAAAAUAUUAAGUGAGUGACUACUUCGGUUAAUCAAUGAUGUGGAUAAAUGAAUACACACAGUGGAAGAUAUAGACGAUUUACAUGGAAGUACAAUCUUCAGUGUAGAAUGUCAACAUCAAAUAAUUAUACAAUAAAUAAACAGAGCUAGAAAGGCCUUCAAAACAAGCAUCUUAGUCACUCUUUUAUUUUUAGAUAGAAACAGAUAAACAAGACGGUGGGGGUGGAGAAAACUCUACAGAUGUGGUAGGGGUGGGCUUAAACCUGAAUUACAGGCUGGGAGUAGAUAGCAUAAUGGUUAUGCACAGGUGCCUGAGGUUCCAAAGCCCCAGGUUCAAUCUCCCACACCAUCAUACACUAGACCUGAGCAGUGGUCUAAAAAAAACAAAACAAACAAAACCCUGCAUUACACAUAUGGCAAAGCUGCACACUAUCCAAGUGAACUACUUUGCACCUUUUCCCCCUCCUUUUUUUAAAAAAGAUUUAUUUGUUUAUGACAGGAGAGUAGAAAGAGAACUAGAGAAUCCCUCUGGCUCAUGUGAUGCUGGGGCUUGAAAUUGGUACCUCAUGCUUGAGGCCCAACACUUUAUCCAC